rnacentral:rRNA from 1 species
UACGUAGGUGACCAGCGUUGUCCGGAUUUACUGGGCGUAAAGGGCGCGUAGGCGGCGUGUCAAGUCAGGCGUGAAAGCCCCGGGCUCAACCUGGGAACCGCGCUUGAGACUGGCAUGCUCGAGUUCGGGAGAGGAUGGUGGAAUUCCCAGUGUAGAGGUGAAAUUCGUAGAUAUUGGGAAGAACACCGAUGGCGAAGGCAGCCAUCUGGACCGACACUGACGCUGAGGCGCGAAAGCGUGGGGAGCAAACAGG